rnacentral:lncRNA from 1 species
UAAUAGCUUGACUCCUUGUUCUGGUCUCUUCUGAAUAGCAAGACACCUCAGAUUUGUGGCAUACCCAGCUCACUUUCUCCUUAUGAUCUCCCGUUCACUUAUCAUCAAUGGACUGACCAUGCUUAAUCAUUUUAUCCUUGUUCUUCAUAAAUCGACCAGUAUCUCUGUGUACACUUCAUCAGUUCCUUAUUUGCUUGGCAAAC